CGCUCCUCGUUGUUAUGCAUGUGGAGUCGUACCUGCUCAGUGAAUAAUUUUAACAGCCGCGGUACUCUGACCGUGCAAAGGUAGCAUAAUCAUUUGCCUUAUAAUUGAAGGCUAGUAUGAAUGGUUUGACGAGAAUUAAGCUGUCUCUUUUCAACUAAAUAUAACUUUAUUUACAGGUGAAGAAGCCUGUAUUAUAUUGAAAGACAAGAAGACCCUAUCGAGCUUUAAAUAAUUUAAUAAGUUAACUAUAUAUUGAUAGAAAAAUUAAAUUGUUAAGGAUUUUAGUUGGGGCGACUGAGGAACAAACAAAGCUUCCUUAUUAACAUGGAAACAUACAGGUAUUGAUCCAAUAUUUUUGAUUAAGGGAAUUAGUUACCGUAGGGAUAACAGCAUAAUCCUCUUUGAGAGCUCUUAUCGAAAAGGGGGUUUGUGACCUCGAUGUUGGACCAGAAUAUCCGGAAGAUGCAGCCGUCUUCAAUGGUUGGUCUGUUCGACCAUUAAAAUUCUACGUGAUCUGAGUUCAGACCGGCGUGAGCCAGGUCAGUUUCUAUCUUCAAUUAUUAAAAUGACUUUAGUACGAAAGGACCAAGUUAUUACACUAAGUUGUUACGAGUAGAUUAAAUAUAAAGAGUUAUUAAAUUAUCAAGUAAAUCAAAUUAGCAAAGAUGAAUGCAAUUGACUUAGGAUCAAUAGACAUAGGUGAAAUCCCUUUAUUUGAUAAAAAUAUGUCUACAUAAAGAUGGCAGAAAAA
rnacentral:rRNA from 1 species